UACGUAGGGUGCAAGCGUUGUCCGGAAUUAUUGGGCGUAAAGAGCUCGUAGGCGGUCUGUCGCGUCUGCUGUGAAAACUCGGGGCUUAACCCCGGGCCUGCAGUGGGUACGGGCAGACUAGAGUGCGGUAGGGGAGACUGGAAUUCCUGGUGUAGCGGUGGAAUGCGCAGAUAUCAGGAGGAACACCGGUGGCGAAGGCGGGUCUCUGGGCAGCAACUGACGCUGAGGAGCGAAAGCGUGGGGAGCGAACAGG
rnacentral:rRNA from 1 species